AGUGCAGAAUAACCCUGCGAAAGCAGAGCUAAUACUGCAUGUGGUUGUCGGAUGGCAUCAUCUGACAACUAAAGUCGCAAGACGCUCUCAGAUGGGCCCGUGGCCUAUUAGCUAGUUGGUGAGGUAACGGCCCACCAAGGCUAUGAUGGGUAGCUGGUCUGAGAGGACGGACAGCCACACUGGGACUGAGACACGGCCCAG
rnacentral:rRNA from 1 species